rnacentral:sRNA from 1 species
UGAUCAUGGAAAAAGAAGCUUGGAGAAGAACAACUAGAUCUUUUUCUGCAGUUUCUAACCUA